rnacentral:lncRNA from 1 species
GAUUGGUGAGGCUAGGCCCGAAGCGUUGCUGCCGGGGUGGCAGUUGGCAGAAUCGGCGGUGCACUGGCAGGCGGGCGCGGAGGUGCGUGACUGGAGGUCAUGGCGGUAGGGCCGGGAGGCGUUGGGCGCACGGCCGGAGAUCCUGGUGGGCGGAUUGCGCACGGGAGGCGAGGUAGCACCGACGCGGCAGCGGCCAGCUUCGACCAUGGAGUGGUCGGGUGUAACAACUCUGCCUUAGUUAGGUGUACUUAAACCUAAACAAG